GAUCAUGGCUCAGGAUGAACGCUAGCGACAGGCUUAACACAUGCAAGUCGAGGGGCAGCGGGGGGGUAGCGAUACCCGCCGGCGACCGGCGCACGGGUGAGUAACGCGUAUGCAACUUGCCUAUCAGAGGGGGAUAACCCGGCGAAAGUCGGACUAAUACCGCAUGAAGCAGGGAUCCCGCAUGGGGAUAUUUGCUAAAGAUUCAUCGCUGAUAGAUAGGCAUGCGUUCCA
rnacentral:rRNA from 1 species